rnacentral:rRNA from 1 species
UACGUAGGUGGCAAGCGUUGUCCGGAAUUACUGGGUGUAAAGGGCGUGUAGGCGGGACUGCAAGUCAGAUGUGAAAAUCACAGGCUCAACCUGGGGGCUGCAUCUGAAACUGUGGUUCUUGAGUGCUGGAGAGGAAAGCGGAAUUCCUAGUGUAGCGGUGAAAUGCGUAGAUAUUAGGAGGAACACCAGUGGCGAAGGCGGCUUUCUGGACAGUAACUGACGCUGAGGCGCGAAAGCGUGGGGAGCUAACAGG